UACGUAGGGAGCAAGCGUUGUUCGGAUUUACUGGGCGUAAAGGGCGCGUAGGCGGCAUAUUAAGUCAGCUGUGAAAUCUCCGAGCUUAACUCGGAACUGUCAGCUGAUACUGAUGUGCUUGAGUGCGGAAGGGGCAAUCGGAAUUCUUGGUGUAGCGGUGAAAUGCGUAGAUAUCAAGAGGAACACCUGAGGUGAAGACGGGUUGCUGGGCCGACACUGGCGCUGAGUGCGCGAAAGCCAGGGGAGCAAACGGG
rnacentral:rRNA from 1 species